AAGGAUAUGAGCCUUAACAUCCACUUUUUGGCUUCAAGCCACUUCUGAAUUUUCCUCCUCAGUAGCAAGUGAAGCAUGAGUUUCCACUUGUUCUUCAUCUAAGUUCAACAUUCGCACAUCAAACUUUUCUAUAUUAUGGUCCUCUUCUGCUAUGUCCAUGUCAUUAAUGGCCACUUGCUCCUCUAAUUCAAAUUUCUCCAUUUUCUCUUG
rnacentral:misc_RNA from 1 species